GCGCCCGUAGCUCAGCCGGAUAGAGCAGGAGCCUUCUAAGCUCAAGGUCGCAGGUUCGAAUCCUGCCGGGCGCA